rnacentral:rRNA from 1 species
GGCCUUGCGCAUGCUAUACAUGCAGUCGAGCGGACAGAUGGGAGCUUGCUCCCUGAUGUUAGCGGCGGACGGGUGAGUAACACGUGGGUAACCUGCCUGUAAGACUGGGAUAACUCCGGGAAACCGGGGCUAAUACCGGAUGGUUGUUUGAACCGCAUGGUUCAAACAUAAAAGGUGGCUUCGGCUACCACUUACAGAUGGACCCGCGGCGCAUUAGCUAGUUGGUGAGGUAAUGGCUCACCAAGGCAACGAUGCGUAGCCGACCUGAGAGGGUGAUCGGCCACACUGGGACUGAGACACGGCCCAGACUCCUACGGGAGGCAGCAGUAGGGAAUCUUCCGCAAUGGACGAAAGUCUGACGGAGCAACGCCGCGUGAGUGAUGAAGGUUUUCGGAUCGUAAAGCUCUGUUGUUAGGGAAGAACAAGUACCGUUCGAAUAGGGCGGUACCUUGACGGUACCUAACCAGAAAGCCACGGCUAACUACGUGCCAGCAGCCGCGGUAAUACGUAGGUGGCAAGCGUUGUCCGGAAUUAUUGGGCGUAAAGGGCUCGCAGGCGGUUUCUUAAGUCUGAUGUGAAAGCCCCCGGCUCAACCGGGGAGGGUCAUUGGAAACUGGGGAACUUGAGUGCAGAAGAGGAGAGUGGAAUUCCACGUGUAGCGGUGAAAUGCGUAGAGAUGUGGAGGAACACCAGUGGCGAAGGCGACUCUCUGGUCUGUAACUGACGCUGAGGAGCGAAAGCGUGGGGAGCGAACAGGAUUAGAUACCCUGGUAGUCCACGCCGUAAACGAUGAGUGCUAAGUGUUAGGGGGUUUCCGGCCCUUAGGUGCUGCAGCUAACGCAUUAAGCACUCCGCCUGGGGAGUACGGUCGCAAGACUGAAACUCAAAGGAAUUGACGGGGGCCCGCACAAGCGGUGGACCAUGUGGUUUAAUUCGAAGCAAC